UACGUAGGGCGCGAGCGUUGUCCGGAAUUAUUGGGCGUAAAGAGCUCGUAGGCGGCCUGUUGCGUCCGCUGUGAAAUCCCGGGGCUCAACCCCGGGCGUGCAGUGGAUACGGGCUGGCUAGAGGCAGGCAGGGGAGAACGGAAUUCCCGGUGUAGCGGUGAAAUGCGCAGAUAUCGGGAGGAACACCGGUGGCGAAGGCGGUUCUCUGGGCCUGUACUGACGCUGAGGAGCGAAAGCGUGGGGAGCGAACAGG
rnacentral:rRNA from 1 species